UUGGAAUCUUUUGGCCUUUUCUUAGGCAGUCCGGUGAACAUAUAUGGGGUCAGGAAACGAGACGUUAGCAUAAACAACAAACAUGUCUCAUGUAUUAGGCCCUGCUUUUUUCUACUUUUAGUUAAAGAUUGUGUCUUUUACAUGUUUUACAAUCAAAGAUAAAACAAACAUGCAUAUUUUUUCUUGUAUUUCAUAAUCUAAUCAUGGAUUGUCACAAUCUAGUAAUCCACAUCGUUGUCUUUUAUGCCAUAUUGUGGUAUACAUAUUUACCCACCAUAUACUAUUACAACGAUAAUAACAUAAUGGUUCUCUUCACCUCCUUCCGGCUCAAUCUUCUUGCAUGUGCAACGAAUGGAAUGGGAAAUAGAGGGGAAGGGAGGAGGAGAUCGUGGGGAAUCUAUUUUGUGAUUGAAUUGAGAUGAGACCACAAUAAGUGGAGGGGCGACCGAGGCUUAUCCAUGGCUACAUUCUCUUCGUAUGUUAGGAGAAAGAGAUUUUUUUUUUGAAAACAGAAAAAUUGAGAAAGAGAGAUAUAGGAGGAAGAUAAUACGGGCCACAUGUAAAUGAGAGAGAGAGAAAGAGACCGCAGUUUUCAAUUUUUUUAACAACGCAGUUUUCCAAAACCCACAAUCUAUAAUUUAAUUUUCAAAAUUUCUAACUGAAAUAAACAUGCCCUUAAGGCCCCGUUUGGGUCCAAGGAAUUGGAAUCUAUUUAAUGAAGUAGGCUAAUUUAUGUUGGAAUGUGGCAUUCCACAACUUUCCAAAGUUUAGAUAUAAGUCUAUCUUAAAUUCAUGGGGUGGGAGAUGGAAAUUGAUUCUAUAGAUUAUGGUUAUUAGAAUGGAAUUCAAUUCUUAUAGCACGCUCUUAGACUCGCUUCUCUAUAGUAGAAGUGAAGCAUACAAGUAUCUCUCCCAUAUCACCAACUAUAAUAUACAACUAUAUUCCACAUACAAUUAUAUUAGCUUAAUUAAUUUGUGUCUAAAUUAUGAUUAUUAGGAUGGAAUUCAAUUCCAAUGAUCCAAACGGGGCCUAAUUAAUUUCCUUCUCGAUGUCAUUGACCUACGGUUGACGUACUGCACCCUGCAACUCCAUGGGUUGAGCCACCGAC
rnacentral:lncRNA from 1 species